GCGUCAAAGCGUAACCUUAACCCCCAAAAUACCAUUAAUUUUCAUGAACCCCUAAUUUAUAAUGAAUGACUCCAUACUUAUAUGGAAGACACCAUGCUAGGAUUAGUAACAAGAAUUUAUAAUUCUCCAAAAUGCAAAUAUAAACCAACAUGGAUAGACCAUUGGUAGUUACCGAACCUAAAUCUACUGCAAUAACACUUACAAGAAAACUCUGCAGUAAUUACUCGUUAACCUAACACUAGCGCAUUACAGGAAAGAUUAAAAAAAAGAGAAGGAAUUCGGCAAAUGACGGCCCCGCCUGUUUACCAAAAACAUCGCCUCUUGACUUAUAAUAAGAGGUCCAGCCUGCCCAGUGAAUCUUAAACGGCCGCGGUAUCCUAACCGCGCGAAGGUAGCAUAAUCACUUGUUCUUUAAAUGGGGACUCGUAUCAACGGCAUCACGAGGGCUUUACUGUCUCCUCUUUUUGAUCAGUGAAAUUGAUCUUCCCGUGAAGAAGCGGGAAUAUUUUUAUAAGACGAGAAGACCCCAUGGAGCUUUAAACCAAAUAACAACUUAACCACUUAUCCCACAAUAAAUUUAAGCCCUGUUAUACGGUUUUUGGUUGGGGUGACCGCGGAGUAAAGCAUAUCCUCCACGACGGAAAGAACACAAUCUUUAUUUAAGAACCACAUUUCUAAAAAUUAGUAUACUAACGUUUACUGACCCGACAAUCGAUCAACGAACCAAGUUACCCUGGGGAUAACAGCGCAAUCUACUUCAAGAGCUCAUAUCGACAAGUAGGCUUACGACCUCGAUGUUGGAUCAGGGUAUCCCGGUGGUGCAGCCGCUACCGAAGGUUCGUUUGUUCAACGAUUAAAAC
rnacentral:rRNA from 1 species